UUCGCUGUGUGCGCAGAGACUAGUGCUGCCACGGUUAGUGAAAUAUCGCACUUUUUGAUGGAAUAGCUGUAUGGAAUAGCUGUCAACGAUUGUGAAUAUUCGAGCUACGUGUAAACUGUCGUUAGGUUAACCUUUUUCUGACUUUUUGCAAUGAAUCUUAUUAUACGAACGGGAUUUGGACCUGUCACUUAUGACAUUAAAUUUAAUCCAAGUUCAAUACCAAAAGGAAAAGCCUUAGCAAUAUCGCAUGUGGUUCGCGUUGAAGAAUUGCGUAAUGAAAAUAUAAGCCAUUUAAUAAGGUGCAGUGUAAUACCGCAAACAUCUGUCAAUGCUAUUCCGUACAAGGUACAAUUACAUGUAAGUAUAUCAAUAUUAAUGAAAUUCAAGUCAAUCGUAAAUAAAUAAAAAAACGUUUAAACAAGAACAAAAAAUUAUUGUUUUGAUUAUUUAUUCAAAAUACAUUAUUGACGCGUUUUUACACGAAACGAAAGAAUCUGGAAGAAAAACGCGGCAGUCUGCCUCGCGAAGCGAGAUAUUAAUCGUUAAAGUUGACAACUAUUUAAGUUAGAAAACCUGUCAUAUCGAUGAAAUGUAGCGACAUGUACAUGCCCCGUAGUCACAUGUCGAUUAAGCAUAAUUUUAUUGAUAUUGGAGGUGAGGCCCGUAUUCUAAAUAAAUACCAUUAUUUUAAACGAGGUAAAAUAUGAUCAUAUAAUCUCAAAGAAUAUACUUACUUUAUUUUUUGUACCCAACGUAUCCACAUUUUUCGCUGCUCAAUUUUAUAAAUCGCUUUUGGAAA